rnacentral:misc_RNA from 1 species
GAUUAAGAACGUAGCGAAAUGCGAUACGUAAUGUGAAUUGCAGAAUUCAGUGAAUCAUCGAGUCUUUGAACGCACAUUGCGCCCCCUGGUAUUCCGGGGGGCAUGCCUGUCCGAGCGUCAUUGCUGCCCUCAAGCACGGCUUGUGUGUUGGGCCUCCGUCCUCCUCCCGGGGGACGGGCCCGAAAGGCAGCGGCGGCCCCGCGUCCGGUCCUCGAGCGUAUGGGGCUUCGUCACCCGCUCUUGUAGGCCCGGCCGGCGCUUGCCGACACAUCAAUCUUUUUUCCAGGUUGACCUCGGAUCAGGUAGGGAUACCCGCUGAACUUAAGCAUAUCAAUAAGCGGAGGA